rnacentral:lncRNA from 1 species
AUGCUGUCGCCAGGCUGCAGCCGCCUGAGGGGACUCGUCCGGGGCCCCGCCCUCAGAGCUCACACCCGCCGUGCGCUCUCGCCCCGGGGCCGCCCCGCCGACCUCCCGCGCGGCUCUGCGCGCACAGGCCGGACGCUCGGAGCCGGCGCCGGGCCGCCCUGCUCGGCCUCCUGGGCGCAGCGGCGCCUCUGGACCGAGCACGCGCACCAGCGGCCUCCGCUCAGGCUCCGUGCCCGCGCACGCGCCCUCGCGUCGCGCUCCUGGCUGAGAGACCUGCGCUCGGGCUGGGCUCCGGGCGGUUCUCGCGUUGUCGUUCCACCGGGACUUCCGCGCUUCGGUGGCCUUUCGGACGAGCCGCCGCGCCCAGAGAUGUUCAGGUUGGAGCGACACUUCCCAGACGGCAGCGGUCACGCCAGCUCUUUGGCUUCCAUUCCGUUUUCGCGCGGUUCUCCCUCUUCGCAAGCUGCUUGGCUGCAAGAGGGAAGUAGGACAUUGAGCCCUAAAGGGAGAUUUCCAGCCAGGGGGCACCGAGCUCUAGAUUCCCUUUGUUCUUUCCCAGUAGAGGAAUCCCAAGGAGGACUGAUCAGUUUUGGCAGGUGCAAAACCAUGGUAUGUGUAAGUUAGUGUUUCCUUCUCGUUAAAAUAGUGAGACGUAAAUGUUUUCAUUAAUUGUUCUGAAGAGUCCUACCCAAAGAACCCCAUGUGAUUAUGUGCUUCCCAGUUCCUCCCAUUCCAGUGAACUGAACAAUGGUUCCAAAUAACCUAGUCCUCCUUAUGUGGCCCAGUCUUUUCCAGCCAGUGUUUAUGCAUUCACUGACCAGGUUAUUCUCUCCUACGUGCUCAACUUAGUCAUAUUAAGAGCUAUAAUGGAGGAAUGAAGAAAUUAAGUCCUGUCAAGAAAUGAUUUGAGCUUCCCGUGUCAGGACUGUAGUUGGAUGAGAGAUGGAGAUCCCAUCUGGCCAAGCAGGGAAAGACCCUGACAUUCUCACAGACAUGAGUUUUCUAGAUACACAUGAUAAAACCCAGCAAUGAACGGUCUCUGGAGGCUAAGAUCCAAUGCACUGUGAGGUUUUUGGAAUUGAAUAGCAAUAUGAUUUAGGACUUGAAAAUAUAUGGAUCAUGGUCCUUUGUAAGGGAUUCCUGAAUGAGAAAUAUGACUAUUUUAUUGCUGACUGGGUUGCGAUGAAAUUGAAUGACUUUGAUAUAAUUCUGGAUCAUCCUACAUUAGUAUCCUCUAACUCAUGAACCAGAAAAGUUCUCAGUGAGGGAUUGUUAGUGUCCAUAAAAGAGAAUAAAAUCAUAAGUCUUAAAUUAACA